rnacentral:lncRNA from 1 species
CGCUUGGAAUGGCUUUGAGGUCUGCCGCCCCCGUGGGGCGCUGGCAGGAGCGGGGAAGCCCCGAGAGCCCGGUCGAGUGCCGGCGGCACAGCCCGAGGAGAGGAAAGCCUCCAGGAGCCGGCCCUCUGGCCCCAAGGGAUUGGGGGGGGGGCCCCGAGGAGAGAGAGCGCCUGUUGGGAGAUGGAGGCCCAUGCCUUUCGGGGGUGGGAGCAGCCCGCCCCCCACACUGUUCGCUCUGCCGGCAGAAGGCUGGCUCGCGAGGUUCUGGAAACGGCGAGGUGCACCUGGCGGAGCAAAAGGGGCGCCAGCAGGAUGGCAGGCGUGUCCGCAGAAGCAGCUGGCAGAGCGCGGUCCGCGCCGCAGCCCUGGCCUGGACUCUCCCGCCUUCACACGGGGGCCCCGUCCGAGGAGAACACAGCGCACCCCCGCACCCCCCCCCCUCGGCGGAGGCUCUCCUGCGCUGUCCGCUGUUUUCCUUUUGCUUCCUGCCCUCCUCCCUCCCCUCCUCCCUCCCUCCCCUCCUCCCUCUCCCCUCCUUCCCCUCCUCCCUCUCCCCUCCUCCCUCUCCCCUCCCUCCCCUCCUCCCCUCCUCCCUCCCUCCCCUCCUCCCUCUCCCCUCCUCCCUCCCUCCCCUCCUCUCCUCCCUCCCCCUCCCUCCCUCCCCUCCCUCCCCUCCCCCUCCCUCCCUCCCUCCCUCCCUCCCCCUCCCUCCCCUCCUCCCUCCCCCUCCCUCCCCUCCUCCCUCCCUCCCCUCCUCCCUCCCUCCCUCCCUCCCCUCCUCCCUCUCCCCUCCCUCCCCUCCUCCCUCCCCUCCUCCCCUCCUCCCUCCUCCCUCCCUCCCUCCCUCCCCUCCUCCCUCCCCUCCCCUCCUCCCUCCCUCCCCUCCCUCCCCUCCUCCCUCCCUUCCUUCCCUCCUCCCUUGUUUCCUUCCUUCCUUUCUUUCUUUCCUUCAUAUAAUUUAUUGUCAACUUGGUUUCCAUCCAACACCCAGUGCUCAUCUCAACAGGUGCCCUUCUCGAUGCCCAUCACCCACCCUCCCCUGCCUCCC